rnacentral:rRNA from 1 species
GGAUUUGUCAGUUGGUCGGGCUUCACUGUCCGUAUUGACUUGAUGGAUUCUUACCUUCUGAAUAACCAGCAUGCUAUUAAGUUAGUGCGUUGGGGAAGCAGAUCUAUUACCUUGAAAAAAUUAGAGUGCUUAAAGCGAGCUAGUGCUUGAAUAGAUUAGCAUGGAAUAAUAAAAUAGGACGGCAUGGUUCUAUUUUGUUGGUUUCUAGGAUCACCGUAAUGAUUAAUAGGGAUAGUUGGG